rnacentral:lncRNA from 1 species
GAGGGUGGCAGAGCCCAGCCACCAGGGUCUGCUCCAUGCCUGGUCCCUGGAGAGGCCCUCACCCUCUCUGCUUUCACCCAACCCGACUGACACGGAGUAGGAGGUGGGAAUCAUGCAGGCAGGGAGCUUAGGAAGCCUGGUUCAAGAUUGCUUUGAAUGGCAGGCCCCCUGCUGUGCUCCUGGGGAGAGAGCCUGAAACCUGGAUGCUCGGGAGCCCCUCAGAUCCGUCAUCUGUCCCCGACACCCCUGUGAUCCUGAAACUGAGGCUCAGAGAGCAGAAGCAGCUUGGCCAAAGUCAUACAACUGGUAGUUGGUAAAGGAGCUGGCCUUGAACUCAGGGAUAUCUUGAAAGCCACUGUUGCUUCUAUGGACUCUAGCCAUUCAAAAGACCCCUCACCUUCUAUAAGACCCCAGGAGAUCCUCAGGGUCCAACUGCUCCCUUGAAAACAGGUCCCAGAUAUAUCUGCCAAAGGUAUGAUUAGGUGCCUAAACACAUACCAUGAGAAAGGGAUUCCAUGUCUUCCAAUCCUGCCCAGAGAUGCAGAGACACCACCACCCAGGGAGAGAUAGCCAGAAACUAAAAUAAGAUGUUAGAGACAGGUGGUUGAUAGUGACAGAUACAGCCACACCAAGACAGGCUCAAAGGGAGGAAGACUGAGGGGAAGCCAGAGACAGAGAGGGACACAUUAGGCCAAAGAAUGAGAGAGAUAGCUGGAAAAGGAGACAAUAGGAGUAGAGGAGGGUACAGGCUGACAUGAAAAAACACCGACAGAUACACUCCAGUAUGCAGACAGACACAUAUAGACCCAUCUGACCUUCACAAGAAACAGACUGUGAAAGCAAGCAAGGCUCAGGCUGUGUGUGGUGUGCGUAUGUGUGUGUGCGUAUUGUGGGGGGAGCAUGCAGAGUCUGUAUAGCUACGCACAUUACACCAGCUGCUUCCAGCAAUUUCAUCUGAUUAAUAAUAAAUGCCCCAUAAUUACAGCCGCUC